CGGAAGCCUGAUCCAGCAACGCCGCGUGAGGGAUGACGGCCUUCGGGUUGUAAACCUCUUCAGUACCGACGAAGCGAAAGUGACGGUAGGUACAGAAGAAGCACCGGCCAACUACGUGCCAGCAGCCGCGGUAAUACGUAGGGUGCGAGCGUUGUCCGGAAUUAUUGGGCGUAAAGGGGCUCGUAGGCGGUUUGUCGCGUCGGGAGUGAAAACACUGGGCUUAACUCAGUGCUUGCUUCCGAUACGGGCAGACUAGAGGUAUGCAGGGGAGAACGGAAUUCCUGGUGUAGCGGUGAAAUGCGCAGAUAUCAGGAGGAACACCGGUGGCGAAGGCGGUUCUCUGGGCAUUACCUGACGCUGAGGAGCGAAAGUGCGGGGAGCGAACAGGAUUAGAUACCCUGGUAGUCCACACCGUAAACGUUGGGCGCUAGGUGUGGGGUCCAUUCCACGGAUUCCGUGCCGCAGCUAACGCAUUAAGCGCCCCGCCUGGGGAGUACGGCCGCAAGGCUA
rnacentral:rRNA from 1 species